ACUAGAUUUAGCUGGGAAGAGAUGUUAUUCAAAGAAAAGACACUUCAACAUGACUAAGAAGAGGUUCAACCCUCCGAAGGGUGUAUGACCCGGCGUCUGCUCAACCCAUCCCAAAACACUGUUCAGCUGGCCAAGAACCUGAGUCCAGAUAGACAAAGAAGUGAGGGAAGAAGCAACUACCACUGUUCUGCUAAAGGCAUGAGCUUGCACUUGGCAGAGAUUUGAUUCAUCAGGGAAGACAGAACUCUGUGUUUGCAUGCUUUAAGGCAGAGAUGAAGUCUACUUUGGCAAGCCCCACAAGGAAAGAGAGAAAAGAAAACAAGAGCCAUAGUCCUCUGCAGGCCAAGAUACGGGAUUAAAGACACUGGAUCCAUUUUAGAAAAGACGUCUGCUAGCAUGUGUUUACCCAACGGCAGCUUCCUCUCCUUCCAGACUCUGGUCUGGUCCUUUCCCAUUAGCCUGAAGUGGGGGAAGUGACAUCUUACAUGAGAAAACGCUGUGAGGGAAAAGGAAGACUGCAUUGCUCCGCCUCAACCCUCAUGGGGUCCUCGUGUUUAGCAGGCAUCGCCUUGGAGAAUCUCUCUUGCUUAUGUUUAUAUGACAGCAUAUCUUCAGAAAUAUUAAACACUUGCAACUCAGUCCCUGCAGCUCUGCGAUAAACAGCGAACAGAGAGUGGCAGGAUUCCCAUCUUAUAACUGACCUGAGAUCCCCUUGACAGGUCUAAUAGGAUCACGUGUUCCUAAAGUCUUGACAGAAAAUCAGAUUCUAAGGGGGCAUACUGCUAGAGAAGCCGAGUGACUUCUUUUAAUACAUUCUGAGUUUCUAGAUUUGUAUUCUCUGAGACUGAACUUGAGUGAACUUUCCCUCUUUUUUAGAUAGCCUAAGAGCAGUGCUACACCUCAUCCUGAGUCACCAAUUAUUGCCUGUUGAUUUUGUAAUAAAACAUUCGGAUC